rnacentral:rRNA from 1 species
UGGGGAAUAUUGGACAAUGGGCGCAAGCCUGAUCCAGCCAUGCCGCGUGAGUGAUGACGGCCUUAGGGUUGUAAAGCUCUUUCGCUCGGGACGAUAAUGACGGUACCGAGAUAAGAAGCCCCGGCUAACUUCGUGCCAGCAGCCGCGGUAAUACGAAGGGGGCUAGCGUUGUUCGGAAUUACUGGGCGUAAAGCGCGUGUAGGCGGGUCUUUAAGUCAGGGGUGAAAUGCCAAGGCUCAACCUUGGAACUGCCUUUGAUACUGGAGAUCUUGAGUCCGGGAGAGGUGAGUGGAACUGCGAGUGUAGAGGUGAAAUUCGUAGAUAUUCGCAAGAACACCAGUGGCGAAGGCGGCUCACUGGCCCGGAACUGACGCUGAGACGCGAAAGCGUGGGGAGCAAACAGGAUUAGAUACCCUGGUAGUCCACGCUGUAAACGAUGGAUGCUAGCCGUUGUCGGGUUUACUCGUCAGUGGCGCAGCUAACGCAUUAAGCAUCCCGCCUGGGGAGUACGGUCGCAAGA